UUGAUAGCCUAUUCCAUUGGUGUCCAAUUUCUUGAACACUCCUUCGUCCAAAUCUAAGCCUCCAUUGGCACACUGAUCAACAAUUCUCACAAUUUGUUGGGCUCCUGUACCACUGUUUGUGACCUGGAAAAACAAGGUAUAUAUACAGUUACAUUGAUUUUCAAAGACUAUAGGAAAAAUAUCAAAACCCCCUAUUUUUUUUAUGAACUUAAUUAAAUCCAUUCAAACAUUUUUAGCUAAAUGCUAAGCAUAAAAAGUUGGUUGGUUGGGGAUCAAUCAUUCAUCAUUCUUACCCUUAAGCACCUGCCACAAGCAGCUUGUCCAAUGGGUCCGCCCGAAUGACAGAAAGCGGUCCAGCCAUAUUUCUGGCGCCAGGCCAAGGGCUUGCUGGCAUCCCAUGUUGCGCAGAAAGCGCUCGCUGCCGUCAAGUCCCAUCCAAUUUGCUCAGGGUGGUAGAGAUGAUAC
rnacentral:lncRNA from 1 species